GUUUGAUCCUGGCUCAGAUUGAACGCUGGCGGCAUGCUUUACACAUGCAAGUCGAACGGUAACAGGGAGCUUGCUCCGCUGACGAGUGGCGAACGGGUGAGUAAUGCAUCGGAACGUACCCAGUCGUGGGGGAUAACGUAGCGAAAGUUACGCUAAUACCGCAUACGUCCUGAGGGAGAAAGCGGGGGACCGUAAGGCCUCGCGCGAUUGGAGCGGCCGAUGUCGGAUUAGCUAGUUGGUAGGGUAAAGGCCUACCAAGGCGACGAUCCGUAGCGGGUCUGAGAGGAUGAUCCGCCACACUGGGACUGAGACACGGCCCAGACUCCUACGGGAGGCAGCAGUGGGGAAUUUUGGGACAAUGGGCGAAAGCCUGAUCCAGCCAUGCCGCGUGAGUGAAGAAGGCCU
rnacentral:rRNA from 1 species